rnacentral:rRNA from 1 species
AACGAACGCUGGCGGCAGGCUUAACACAUGCAAGUCGAACGCAUCCUUCGGGGUGAGUGGCAGACGGGUGAGUAACGCGUGGGAAUCUACCCUGAUCUGCGGGAUAGCUCCGGGAAACUGGAAUUAAUACCGCAUAUGUCCUGAGGGACAAAGAUUCAUCGGUUCAGGAUGAGCCCGCGUCCGAUUAGCUAGUUGGUGGGGUAAAGGCCUACCAAGGCGACGAUCGGUGGCUGGUCUAAGAGGAUGAUCAGCCACAUUGGGACUGAGACGCGGCACAAACUCCUACGGGAGGCAGCAGUGGGGAAUAUUGGACAAUGGGCGCAAGCCUGAUCCAGCCAUGCCGCGUGAGUGAUGAAGGUCUUAGGAUUGUAAAGCUCUUUCACCGGGGACGAUAAUGACGGUACCCGGAGAAGAAGCCCCGGCUAACUUCGUGCCAGCCGCCGCGGUAA